GGCUGCUAUGGUGUUGCUGAAGGUCUAUAAUGUUGCUGGAGGUCCUGUUAUGGUGUGGAUCCCGCUCUUCCUGAGAAGCCUGGUGCUAAGGAUGGAGGUUGGUCAGCUCCAGUUCCUUCAGCCAUUUUGUCCCAUUCUGAGGGUUGUUGCCCAGUGGAAGUGUUUCUGGGAAGCGAGAGAUGAUCCUUCACAUCUGGGAGAUUCUUUGGCAGAAAUCUCCCUGUCUUCAGGAAGCUUCAAAUGCUGCAGUUCUGAAUGGGGUUCCCUGUUUGUUGCCAACUGGAUUAAGGGAGAUGAAUUCAUACUGAAACCAAAACUGGGGAGGCUUAGAUGUACCUGAUCAAUGACAUCUCUGGGAGUAAGUCAGGACUAUGAGGCUGAACAUCUGGGCAAGGCAGCAGCGUGGGGAGCAGUGCAUGGAAUGUGGACAGCUCGGAUCCCAAAGGAAGGUGCAGCCCAAUGGUAAAAGAGACAGCUGGUCACCUGUAGGGGAAAUAAUGCAACACAGCUCAAUGCCAUGCACUGCAGAUUUUGUCAAGAACAUAAAGAAACCUGGCGCUUUAUUUUUAUUUUUGAAGUG